GCCCUAGUAGCUUACAACCCAAAGCGCCGGCCUUGUAAGCCGGAGAUGAGCCAUCAAGUCCUCCAAGGGCC
rnacentral:tRNA from 1 species